rnacentral:rRNA from 1 species
GGCGUGCCUAAUACAUGCAAGUCGAGCGAGCAGAACCAGCAGAUUUACUUCGGUAAUGACGCUGGGGACGCGAGCGGCGGAUGGGUGAGUAACACGUGGGGAACCUGCCCCAUAGUCUAGGAUACCACUUGGAAACAGGUGCUAAUACCGGAUAAUAAAGCAGAUCGCAUGAUCAGCUUAUAAAAGGCGGCGUAAGCUGUCGCUAUGGGAUGGCCCCGCGGUGCAUUAGCUAGUUGGUAAGGUAACGGCUUACCAAGGCAAUGAUGCAUAGCCGAGUUGAGAGACUGAACGGCCACAUUGGGACUGAGACACGGCCCAAACUCCUACGGGAGGCAGCAGUAGGGAAUCUUCCACAAUGGACGCAAGUCUGAUGGAGCAACGCCGCGUGAGUGAAGAAGGUUUUCGGAUCGUAAAGCUCUGUUGUUGGUGAAGAAGGAUAGAGGUAGUAACUGGCCUUUAUUUGACGGUAAUCAACCAGAAAGUCACGGCUAACUACGUGCC